AGUACGAGCGCGGGCACCGGGCGCAGAGCCGGCUCGUUCCUGCGAGCCUCCCCCCCUCCGGUCGCUCGCGUGUCGCGACACCGGACGCUACCGCCGCUCGUUCGCGAUAGCCGCGUGGGUCGCGACAAAGCGGUCGCAAAGGAGAGAGCCGCGGAGCGGCGCGGAGCCAACUCGGGCGGGCGGGAGCCGGGCGCACCUCGGGGCGGCGGCGCCGGGAGCCCGAUUCGGAGUCAGCUCUGCUCCGGAGCCAGAGCGGAGCCGCCGCGCCCCAAGGGGUCCCGGAGCCCCCUCCUCGCCCGGACCGCGGCGGGUCGCCGGCUGUGCCCUCAACCCCUUCUCCAUCCCCAUCCUCAUCCCCAUCUUCAUCUUCAUCCCCAUCUUCAUCUUCAUCCCCAUCCCUAUCUUCAUCCUCAUCUUCAUCCUCAUCCUCAUACCUACCCCUUUCUCCAUGCCCAUCCCCUUCUCCAUCCUCGUCCUCACCCCUACCCUCACCCCCAUCCCCUUCUCCAUCCCCAUCCCCUAAGUUUCCACGCCGCCACCCCGGCUCAGGGGCAGCCUCCAAACUUCCCCGCCGCUCUGCCAGCAGCGGCACCGGGGGCAUCACCGGCUCCGCAAAGUUCCCCGGGCUGCCGCCCCUUACCUCCGCGGGCUCCCGCUGCCCGGCCGCCGGCCGGGAAUCCCCAGAGCGCUGCCGCCAGGGCCAGGAGGAGCGCGGGCAUCGCGGCGGGCGCGGAGCGGCGGCGGCAGCUCCGCCGUGCGCGGGGACCGGGGAGCGGCAGCGGCAGCAGCAGAAGCAGCGGCAGCAGCGGGGCUUUGCGGCUCCGGGCUCACCGCACGNNNNNNNNNNNNNNNNNNNNUUUACUUUCUUUUUUUUCAUCUUUUUCCCUUAUUUCAUCUUUUUCCUUUUAUAUUUCACCUUUUUCCCUUAUUUCAUCUUUUUCCUUUUUUAUUCUACCUUUUCCUUUUCUAUUCCAUCUUCUCCUUCUUAUUCCAUCUUCUCCUUUUUAUUCCAUCUUUUUCCUUUUGUAUUUCAUCAUUUCCUUUUUUAUUUCAUCAUUUCCUUUUUUAUUUCAUCAUUUCCUUUUUUAUUUCAUCUUUUCCUUUUUUAUUUCAUCUUUUCCUUUUUUAUUCCAUCCUUUUCCUUUUUUAUUUCCUCUCUUUUUCAAUCUUUAA
rnacentral:lncRNA from 1 species